CAGCCGUAAACUAUGCGCGUUAGGUGUAUCGGUGACCACGAGUUACCGAGGUGCCGAAGGGAAACCGUGAAACGUGCCGCCUGGGAAGUACGGUCGCAAGGCUGAAACUUAAGGGAAUUGGCGGGGGGAGCACCACAACAGGUGGAGCCUGCGGUUUAAUUGGACUCAACGCCGGGAAGCUCACCGGAUAGGACAGCAGAAUGAUUGCCGGGCUGAAGACCCUGCAUGACUAGCUGAGAGGAGGUGCAUGGCGUAGACGUCU
rnacentral:rRNA from 1 species